rnacentral:rRNA from 1 species
UACGAAGGGGGCAAGCGUUGUCCGGAAUUAUUGGGCGUAAAGAGCUCGUAGGCGGUUUGUCACGUCUGCUGUGAAAUCCCGAGGCUCAACCUCGGGCCUGCAGUGGGUACGGGCAGACUGGAGUGCGGUAGGGGAGAAUGGAAUUCCUGGUGUAGCGGUGAAAUGCGUAGAUAUCGAGAGGAACACCAGUGGCGAAGGCGAGUCUCUGGACGACUCCUGACACUGAGGCACGAAAGCUGGGGGAGCAAACAGG